rnacentral:misc_RNA from 1 species
UCAAUGAAUACCCUGAUGGUCUAGCAAUGAUUGGUCAAUAAUUGAAUUAUUAAGCAAUUGAAAACUUAAACAGCCUGUAACCUAAUAUUGCUCGGUGUAAUGCUGUAUAAAGGAAUGAAAUUAGACUUAAUAAUAUGCUAUCCUGAUCCCCUGAACUAAUGGAAUUAUGGAAUAGAUGGAUAUGCCCGACGUUUCGGAUACUUUACAGCGACCAAAUAAAACAGAACUU